UUGUUUUUCUAGUUUGAUGAGUUGAAGAAUGUAUAUGAUGGCGAAUACAAGGCUGAUGCUAUCACCACAUUUGUCACAGAGAACAGCCUUCCACUUGUCAUCGAAUUCACAGAAAAGUCUGCUCAAAAGAUCUUUGGUGGGGCAGUUAAGGUUCAUCUACUUCUAUUUGUCAAAAAAGAUGCUGAUAACUUCCAGACUACAUACGACAACUUCCAUGGCGCUGCCUCGGACUUCAAAG